UNAAUCGCGGAGGCUACACGAUGCAGUCGAGCGGUAGCACAGAGAGCUUGCUCUCGGGUGACGAGCGGCGGACGGGUGAGUAAUGUCUGGGAAACUGCCUGAUGGAGGGGGAUAACUACUGGAAACGGUAGCUAAUACCGCAUAACGUCGCAAGACCAAAUGUGGGGGACCUUCUGGUGCCUCAUGCCAUCAGAUGUGCCCAGAUGGGAUUAGCUAGUANAGUGGGGUAACGGCUCACCUAGGCGACGAGUCCCUAGCUGGUCUGAGAGGAUGACCAGCCACACUGGAACUGAGACACGGUCCAGACUCCUACGGGAGGCAGCAGUGGGGAAUAUUGCACAAUGGGCGCAAGCCUGAUGCAGCCAUGCCGCGUGUAUGAACGAAGGCCUUCGGGUUGUAAAGUACUUUCAUGCGGGGAGGAAGGCGAUACAGGUUAAUAACCUUGUCGAUUGACGUUAACCGCAGAAGAAGCACCGGCUAACUCCGUGCCAGCAGACCGAGGUAAUACGGAGCGGUGCAAGCGUUAGUCGGAAUUACUGGGCGUACAAGCAGCNACGCAGGCUGGUCUGUCAAGUCGGAUGUGACAUCCACCGGGGCUCAACCCUUGGGGAACCUGCAUUCGACAANCUGGCCAGGGCUAGAAGUCAUUAGUAGAAGGGGGGUAGCAAUAUCCACGUGUGUAGCGGUGAACAUCGCGGUAGANAGAAUCUGGCACGAAUACCNGUUGCGCGAAAGGGGGCCCCCUNGGAACAAAAACGACACUCACGUNCGAAANCUUNGAGNC
rnacentral:rRNA from 1 species